CCGUUCAUUUAAUUAAUUAAAUACUAAAUCAAAUCCUAGCCCCUUAUCUCUUCUAAAAUCAAUGGUCCAGAUUUAAUCUAUCUUUUCUACCAAAGAGACAUAAACCUAAAAAUUUUAUUUUAUUCCUCCCUCACCCAUAUCUCCAGCCGCCUCUCUCUCCCUCCAUUCUUUCCGGUGGUUAAUCACCACCUCCAAGUGGUGGCAGCCGCCCCUCUUCCCCUCUCCGUCUCCCGCCCCCUAUCUUCUCCCUCUCGCCCCUCUUCUCGUCUCCCUCCUCUUCUCUCUUCUUUUGGAGGCAGCAGCAACCGCCGAAAGCAACAACUCCGGUCAGCGAACUCCAUCAAGCGUCUUUGAAGUUUUAAGACGGAUCUAUGAUAGAUUUGUCCGGGAGGUAAGGGUGCCAAAAGAAAGGACUCAAAAAGGUCAAGGUGUCAAAUAGGGUGACCAAGGAAUUCAGUUAAGGCUCAAUGGGAUUGACUAAGAUCAAUGUUAAUGAAAGAGAGUUUGGGUAAAGUGACUUAAUCAAAGAGAGUCGGUUCAUCUUCUAAGUAGGGAUGGACACGAUACGAUACAAUACAUAUCUGAAUUUGAUAUUGUAACUUCAAUAUUUGAUUUUUACAAUAUUUAUACAAUUAUCAUAUCAAUUUAAUUUAUUUUGGUACGA